rnacentral:lncRNA from 1 species
UCAGUACAAGUAUGUCAACGUUCACCAAAUAAAUCUACAAAUUAUAAUAACCUUCAAUAUGUUCCAAUGAUGUUAUUAAUUGUCCUCUAACUAAUUAUCAAAUAAAUGUACACUUUAUAAAUAAAACUUGCAUUGAUAAGUUAAAUUCUAAACUAGCCACUAAAAAUCAAUGCUAACCUAAGUAUAAAUUCAAAGCAUAUAUAUCUACUAAGUAACUUGAUUCACUCCUAAACAUAGGCUUUAUGAAUUUCCUUUGUCUUGGCAUAGAAAUAUAAUUUCUCAUUAUGGCAAGGUCUACAAUCAAACCAUUCAUUAACAUAUUAACUUAUAUACAAUGGCACUAGCUUUACCUUAGUUGCUGCUUAUAAGAACAACAGGUCACACUUUACCCAAAUUUACAUAUUAUAUUCUAAGCAACUCAUAUCAUCCAAUUAACAAUAUCAUAUAUAAAACAAAUUACACUAAUAAUCCUUAUUUAACAUUCAAAUACAUAUUACUUAAUAAUAUUAACCCUUAUUAGUAUUAACUUCAUAGAAACUAAAACAUCUUGAUUCAUUAUAAAAUUCACCCAUAUAACUUAUUUUGAAUACUAACCAAAUUUAAUUACUUUGCUAACUAGCUAAUUAAACCUUUCUAAGAUCGUAUAGUUCUUGUUUAUCGACUUCCUUAAUUUUUCAGCCUGAAGCCUAAUUUCUAAAUAUACGUCAAUCCACAGAUCAAUAUCAGUUGACGUCAGAUGUUAAAACUAAUUAUAUAUUCAUACUCUAUACGAAAAAUGCAAUAUUCUGCCUCUUGGGAACUCCGGUCACCGGAACCACCACUAUCGCCGCCGUCUA